AUUGAACGCUGGCGGCAUGCCUUACACAUGCAAGUCGAACGGCAGCGGGGGAGAAGCUUGCUUUUCCUGCCGGCGAGUGGCGAACGGGUGAGUAAUACAUCGGAACGUGCCCUGUAGUGGGGGAUAACUAGUCGAAAGAUUAGCUAAUACCGCAUACGACCUGAGGGUGAAAGUGGGGGACCGCAAGGCCUCAUGCUAUAGGAGCGGCCGAUGUCUGAUUAGCCAGUUGGUGGGGUAAAGGCCUACCAAGGCGACGAUCAGUAGCUGGUCUGAGAGGACGAUCAGCCACACUGGGACUGAGACACGGCACAGACUCGUACGGGAGGCAGCAGUGGGGAAUUUUGGACGAUGGGCGAAAGCCUGAUCCAGCAAUGCCGCGUGUGUGAAGAAGGCCUUCGGGUUGUAAAGCACUUUUGUCCGGAAAGAAAUGGCUCUGGUUAAUACCUGGGGUCGAUGACGGUACCGGAAGAAUAAGGACCGGCUAACUACGUGCCAGCCGCCGCCGUAA
rnacentral:rRNA from 1 species